rnacentral:rRNA from 1 species
CGUAGGGUGCGAGCGUUAUUCGGAAUUACUGGGCGUAAAGUGUGCGCAGGCGGCCAUGCAAGUCGAGUGUGAAAGCCCCGGGCUUAACUUGGGAAUUGCGCUCGAAACUACGUGGCUGGAGUGUGGCAGAGGAAGGUGGAAUUCCACGUGUAGCGGUGAAAUGCGUAGAGAUGUGGAGGAACACCAAUGGCGAAGGCAGCCUUCUGGGCCAACACUGACGCUCAUGCACGAAAGCGUGGGGAGCAAACAGGAUUAGAUACCCUGGUAGUCCACGCCCUAAACGAUGACGACUAGUUGUUGGAGGAGUUAAAUCCUUUAGUAACGCAGCUAACGCGCGAAGUCGUCCGCCUGGGGAGUACGGUCGCAAGAUUA